rnacentral:rRNA from 1 species
UACGGGGGGGGCAAGCGUUGUUCGGAAUUACUGGGCGUAAAGGGUUCGUAGGUGGCUCGCUAAGUCAGACGUGAAAUCCCUCAGCUUAACUGGGGAACUGCGUCUGAGACUGGCAAGCUUGAGUGCAGGAGAGGAACGCGGAAUUCCAGGUGUAGCGGUGUAAUGCGUAGAUAUCAGGAGGAACACCGGUGGCGAAGGCGGCCCUCUGGACGAUGACUGACGCUGAGACGCGAAAGCGUGGGGAGCAAACAGG